rnacentral:rRNA from 1 species
GCUUACGCCAUACCAGCCUGAAUACGCCCGAUCUCGUCUGAUCUCGGAAGCUAAGCAGGGUCGGGCCUGGUUAGUACUUGGAUGGGAGACCGCCUGGGAAUACCAGGUGCUGUAAGCU